UUCCUAGCUGCUGGAAGAGGAAUACAUUUGGGAAGCAAUGUAUUUAAGCUCCGGGAGAUUAGGAUAUGGGUAUGAGCCAAGACAUUUUUGGUUGCUGCUUAAUGAUGUAACUUGUUUGUGGAAUGGGACAGGCCACUGUAUUGGAAGCUGGGUGAUCUCAGCCCAAGGCAUAGUGUUAUACAGGUAGACAUGUGCAAAAAGAUUAAUGGGAAACUAGGCUUAACAGAGUGUUGAAGUGUUAAAGAGGGAACUCAAAGACCUUGUCCCUCUGGAUUGACCUUCAGGUUGAAUGUAGGUAAAGCCAAGUGCACUACAUGCUGUUUGCCUUGGAGUGCUCCUCAGUCACACAGAAAUAUAAUUUUUUUCUGAUUUGAACUCUUCAACGUGAAAUGUUAACAAAAACAUCUAGCCUAGGGUUUAAAAAUGUAUUCAGCAAAGAAAGUAUUGAAAAUAUUUAAUGCUUCAAAUAAUUUUCCCUAGCCUUUGAGAUAUCUUGCACUAAAAAUGUCUUUUUGCUGAAGCAUUUUCUAAAAUAUUAGUUUCCACUUUUACUUUCUGCUCCCAGGAUAACUAUUCCUCUGAACCAAAACAGCUCCUUUAUUUUAUUUUUUCCUUUUUCAUUUUUUUUUCUCUUUCUGAAAUAACCUGUCCUGAAGACAUAAACAACUUACCUUGAUGGCUUGCCAAGACUCUGUCCUGCCACAGAUCUCCUCCUCAUCUUUCAUUUUUUACCCCAAGGAACAGUAAACAUGAAUCCUGACCCACCAAUGCAGCCCCAGAAGUGAUGAGAGAUACACUGUAGCUAAAUGGUAGGUAGAAAUAAAAACAGUGCUUCAAUUUGAUAAUAUUAAAUGUGCUGGGAAGACAGUCUCCAAGAGAAAGGAUAAAUAACCUACAUAAUGAAGAAUUAGUUAGCAGUGUUAUGUAAAUAUUGUAGCAGCAUCAAUGAGGAGGUAAGCAGAAGUAUUUUAAGACACUAUAUUAUACAAUACACUGUGCACUGUUUCCUGGUGAUAAGGUUUUUAAAGCAUCUUUAUAAGCUCCUCUUCUCUGUUGUGACAGGAUUAUUUUUGCACCUUUGGAAAGCAACUGAAAGAGGAAGCUUGGAAAAAAUCCUGCCUAACAAAGCAGCCAUACUCAAAUAGCUUAAACUAUAAGAAAGAACUGAUUCAAGAUAUAAGAACAGAUUUAAGAUGUAAGAUUAAAACAUACGUAUAAAUGAUAUUCUCAUUUUUUCAGUGCUUUUUAUUCUUGUCAGUGCAGUGAAAUGUGAAAAUGUCAAAGGAUGAAAUUGUUUUUGAUUAUUAUUCCACUAAAUUUUAAAUGGUCACUGAGGCAGAUAUUUCAUGUAAAAACAUCCAGAAACAAUAAUAUUUGUAGUGGAUAAAAUUGUGGGUGGAUAAUGUAAUGUACAAAUUAUCCAGAAGGAAAUCACACUAGUUUAAGAAAAUGUUUUAGCUACUGACAUUAAUAAAUUGACCACCCAGUACACUUCAGAAAAAGCUGACAAUACAUUUUCUCCUCUUUCCACCCUUGAAAAGCUCAGUUUUAUAAUGACAGAAUAUUUAAAUACUUUGAGACUAUCUAGAUUUAAAAUUUUUCUUCAGAGUGUUGAUUCUUGAUUUGACAGUGGUGGCCAAAAUCACUGAAAUUAUGAGUUCUAAGUCUCAUAUUAGACAGCUUAAGAAACAUUAAAGUUUGAUUUAGUGAAAUGGUAAAAAGUAGAAAAAACAAAGAAAUUGAAGCAUCUUAGAUAAUCAAAAAAAUGAAUACUUAUAAUUAAUCAACCCCUUUGUAUAACCAAGUUUUGAUUGUCUAGCUGUGUUUGUAUCAUUGUAGACUCUCUACAGAGAAUGUUUAAUUGUAGGAUACCUUCUCCCUAUAUUCUUUCUGUUGCCAUUAGUUGUUGUAUACUCAGCAAAGGUAAAGACAUUUUAAUAUUAGUUAUGUUUUAGUCAAGAGGCCACCAGAACAGGGAUAUGUCUGGAAAUAGAAGCCAGAGGCCUAAGGGCACUAAUUGAAAGUAGAUAAACACAGAUACAAUGAAAAUUUUUAGGUUGAAAUCAAGUUAAAAAAAAGCAAAUUAGUUAAAAUACAGAAAUGCAGGCAUAGGCUAGAAUAUAGGAGUUGCAUCCAGGUAACCAAUGGGGCAGAUGAGAACAGAGUGCCUUUAGCAGUGGUGAUCCGGUGUCUAGAAAUGAGUCAAACCUCUGGGGACCUAGAGAACAAGGGCAAUGUCAAGGGUUUAUAGAAAAAUAUUCUUUCAUAUUGGAAAAGCCCUUCUUCAGAUGAUAUUUAUAAUUCCAGACCUAAGAGCUGUUGAAUUCAGUUUAUCAGUGGCCAAGCCAGGUUAAAUCAGUCUCUCAAAUUGCAGCUGGGUUUCUCUUAUUACGUUUUUUACUAAAAGCACUGUAAAAGACAAUGAAGAGCAUUUGCUUUGUAAAAUCUCUCAUCUCUUCCCACCAUCAAGCAUUUAUCAGACCUGAUUACAGUGUAAAUACAUGAACAGUUAAGGCAUUACAGGAAAAUCAGGAGAAAAAGGGAUUGGUGAAUUGCGAAAGUGGGCUAGAGGUGGUAUAUUUGGAAUUGAGAUGCCAUUGAACCACCUGAGUUACACUUUAACUGAGGUAGGAUAUAGAAUUGGAACUGGGAACAAGGUUUGAAAGUUUGUUUUCCUGAGUUAUGAAUUAGGAUUUUGGGGAUGUUUAUGAGGAGCACUCUUCUUAAAUCUUCAGAAAUAACUGAAUUUAAGGUUAAUUUUACUUUAUAACCCUUCUUUUCAUGUUCACUGGGAUCUAAUUGAACAGAAGAGACACUAUCAGAAUAAGCCUGUUACAAUAAACAUUUUAUGAAAGAAAACCCCAAGGAAGUGAAUAUGGAAACGGCUAAAGAAGAUGAGAUUUUUCUUAAAAUCUAAAUACUUACUGUAGUGUUGGGUUUUGAAAUGUCGUAUAAGGCAAGGACUGUUAAUUAAUUUGGGCCAAAUUCCACACCUGCAAGAUAUCCAUUUGUGGGAAAUAAGAUUUUAGAAACCUGUAUUAUCCAUGGAAUGUAUGGUAACUAUUUAAUAUUUCAUUUAAGGUUUUAUCUCAUAAAUAACAUCAUUUUGCUUUAUGUUGUUUUACAUGAAGAUCAUUUUAAAUACAACUUACUAUUAAUACUUUGAAAUCUAACCCAUGGUUGAUUGUCAGAUAAAUCAAUCAGUCAAAGCUCUACAGAAUGAUUAUAGCC
rnacentral:lncRNA from 1 species